GCAAGUCGAAUGGGUUUAGACCCAUGGCAAACGGGUGCGUAACACAUUGGUAACCUACCUCAAAGUUCAGCAUAACCCCUUGAAAAAGGGGCUAAUACUGGAUGUGUCCUUCUAACAUAUGUUAGAAGUGUAAAGAUUUAUCGCUUUGAGAGGGGCCUAUGGCUUAUCAGCUUGUUGGUGAGGUAAAAGCUCACCAAGGCUACGACGAGUAGCGGGCGUGAGAGCGCGACC
rnacentral:rRNA from 1 species